rnacentral:rRNA from 1 species
UACGUAGGGUGCGAGCGUUGUCCGGAAUUACUGGGCGUAAAGAGCUUGUAGGUGGUUUGUCGCGUUGUUCGUGAAAUCUCACGGCUCAACUGUGAGCGUGCGGGCGAUACGGGCAGACUAGAGUACUGCGGGGGAGACUGGAAUUCCUGGUGUAGCGGUGGAAUGCGCAGAUAUCAGGAGGAACACCGGUGGCGAAGGCGGGUCUCUGGGCAGUAACUGACGCUGAGAAGCGAAAGCGUGGGGAGCGAACAGG